rnacentral:lncRNA from 1 species
GAUCUUGAUGUUGAUGUGUUGUAUUGGGAUGCAUAUCCAUACCGUCGAAAUCUUGAAUGGAAAAACUAGGGAUAUCCAGUAGUUGCUCAUCCGUGAGAUCAAAGUCAGGUAGUGAAUGUGUUGCUUGUGUGAAGGUGUUGGGUUGAGUGUGUUGAAUUGGAGGAUAACAGACAUCAUCAGGGUUGAAUGUAGAAGUGAGUUGAGAGAAUGUAGUGUUAAAUGUUUGGGGUUGGAAUUUGGGGUUUGAGCUAUCAAAGUUUGGUUGAGGAAUUAGAGUGUAUUGUAUGAGUGGUUGUAAGUUGGUUUGUUGUUGAUAUUGUUGGUUGUAAUAGUAGUUUGUUUGAGGGAAUGAAGUGUGGGGAUUUUGGUGUUGGGAUGAGGUGACAUAAAAGGUGU